rnacentral:lncRNA from 10 species
CUGGGUUCUGUUGUUGGCAACCAACAGAGUUGUUGUCUUUUCUCGCAUUCAUUAAAAUGCACAAGAAGAAAUUUCUAAUGGUGAGGGAGUACUUGCUUCAAAUUCAUACUUCAGUGAAAUAAACAACACCAUACAUAGGAAUGUGAAAGCAAAGUCAUCAUACACUGUUUGCUUCAUUGUAUGAGAAUCAAUGUUUGCAUGAUAAACUGCCCUAAUGGAAGAGGACUCUGAGUUACCUUUUUCGAGCAAAGCCACCUAGGUUACUCUGUUUUCCCCAGAGUGACCCUUCUGUUCUGCAAAUUUUCAGAUUGAAGGGAGUAGCAGUAGAGUAUCAGAAGUAUCAGAAGCAAAAAAGUAAAUGUAUGAUUUGCAAAGCAUAACAAAAUGAAAAAUAAGCUUCUGCAGUCAUGGAAGUUCAGAAUUGGAUAACAACUUAGAUUAUUUAUUCCAACCUCAUCGAAAAAGAGAUAAAGACAUGGAAUUCAGGAAAAGUGGUGAGGAAGCAAAUUCAGAAAUGUAUGACUAGGAAUAUGGAAGCAACUGAAUAUGAGGUUAGAAUGUGAAACUGAAUUUAAAGGUGUAACUUGGGCCUGACUGAAAUAUAGCAAUUUAGCAGAAGUGGGAUUAAUUAUGUAGCCUUACCUAGUUGUACACAAGAUCAGGCUGGGACUGAAAUUCUACAAUAUGACUCCAUACCACCAAAAGAAUUCCAGCCCUCUGAGCAGUAGGAAAGAGAGUUUUGUUUUCUUGUAACCAGAACAUAAACUUUUGAUAGUCAUAACCUUUAUUUCAGUCUAUAAAUUUAGAUAUUGAUGGGGUUCAAAACAUUCUAUCCCCAAAUAUGGCACCAUGGAAUUUGAGCAAACGGCAAAAGUAGAAAGAUCACCCUUUGACUUUCUCCUGCCCUCCUCCUCUGAAAUCAGGUCAAGAGCCC